rnacentral:rRNA from 1 species
GGGGGAAGUAUGGUUGCAAAGCUGAAACUUAAAGGAAUUGACGGAAGGGCACCACCAGGAGUGGAGCUUGCGGCUUAAUUUGACUCAACACGGGAAACCUCACCCGGCCAGCACAUCGUGAGGAUUGACAGACCGAUAGCUCUUUCAUGAUUCGGUGGAUGGUGGUGCAUGGCCGUUCUUAGUUCGUGCUAACGAAGUGUCUGCUUUAUUGCGAUAACGAGCGAGACGCCGACUGCUAACUAGUGCGUCGAUUGAUUCGUUUGUCGACGAUCAUUUCUUAGCGGGAUUCGUGGUUCUUAGCCUCAAGAAAUGGCGCAAUAACAGGUCUGUGAUGCCCUUAGAUGUUCGGGGCCGCACGCGUGCUACAAUGGUGGUAUCAGCGUGAUUGUCCUACUCCGAGAGGAGAUGGCAAACAGUUGAGAUAUUAUUAUGGCUGGAAUUGAGUGUUGAAAUUUUCACUCAUGAACGAGGAAUUCCAAGUAAAUGCGAGUCAUCAACUCGCAUUGAUUACGUCCCUGCCCUUUGUACACACCGCCCGUCGCUCCCCGGACUGAGUUGUUUCGAGAAAUCCACGGACCGGCGUUCGCUCAUGUUUCGGCAUGUCGUUUGCUGGAAAGUGGCUUAAUCGCAACGGCUUGAACCGGGGAAAAGUCGUACA